rnacentral:rRNA from 1 species
UGGGGAAUAUUGGGCAAUGGGCGAAAGCCUGACCCAGCAACGCCGCGUGAGGGAAGAAGGCUUUCGGGUUGUAAACCUCUGUCCUUGGUGACGAAAAAAAUGACGGUAGCCAAGGAGGAAGCCCCGGCUAACUACGUGCCAGCAGCCGCGGUAAUACGUAGGGGGCGAGCGUUGUCCGGAAUUACUGGGCGUAAAGGGUGCGUAGGUGGCCUUUUAAGUUGGAUGUGAAAUCCCCGAGCUUAACUUGGGUGGUGCAUCUAAUACUGGAGGGCUAGAGUGCAGGAGAUGAAAGCGGAAUUCCGAGGGUAGCGGUGGAAUGCGUGUAUAUUAGGAGGAACACCAGUGGCGAAGGCGUCUUUCUGAACUAUUACUGACAUUGGGGUACUAAAGCGUGGGGAGCGAACAGGAUUGGAGACCCCUGGAGUC